rnacentral:tRNA from 1 species
GGAGAUUUAGCUCAGUGGCAUAAGCAUCUGCAUGGUAAGCACAAGGUUCAUGAGUUCAAUCUCCA